rnacentral:rRNA from 1 species
UAGGGAAUCUUCGGCAAUGGACGAAAGUCUGACCGAGCAACGCCGCGUGAGUGAAGAAGGUUUUCGGAUCGUAAAACUCUGUUGUUAGAGAAGAACAAGGACGUUAGUAACUGAACGUCCCCUGACGGUAUCUAACCAGAAAGCCACGGCUAACUACGUGCCAGCAGCCGCGGUAAUACGUAGGUAGCAAGCGUUGUCCGGAUUUAUUGGGCGUAAAGCGAGCGCAGGCGGUUUCUUAAGUCUGAUGUAAAAGCCCCCGGCUCAACCGGGGAGGGUCAUUGGAAACUGGGAGACUUGAGUGCAGAAGAGGAGAGUGGAAUUCCAUGUGUAGCGGUGAAAUGCGUAGAUAUAUGGAGGAACACCAGUGGCGAAGGCGGCUCUCUGGUCUGUAACUGACGCUGAGGCUCGAAAGCGUGGGGAGCAAACAGG